AUUGAACGCUGGCGGCAGGCCUAACACAUGCAAGUCGAGCGGAUGAAGGGAGCUUGCUCCUGGAUUCAGCGGCGGACGGGUGAGUAAUGCCUAGGAAUCUGCCUGGCAGUGGGGGAUAACGUCCGGAAACGGGCGCUAAUACCGCAUACGUCCUGAGGGAGAAAGUGGGGGAUCUUCGGACCUCACGCUAUCAGAUGAGCCUAGGUCGGAUUAGCUAGUUGGUGGGGUAAAGGCCUACCAAGGCGACGAUCCGUAACUGGUCUGAGAGGAUGAUCAGUCACACUGGAACUGAGACACGGUCCAGACUCCUACGGGAAGCAGCAGUGGGGAAUAUUGGACAAUGGGCGAAAGCCUGAUCCAGCCAUGCCGCGUGUGUGAAGAAGGUCUUCGGAUUGUAAAGCACUUUAAUUUGGGAGGAAGGGCAGUAAGUUAAUACCUUGCUGUUUUGACGUUACCAACAGAAUAAGCACCGGCUAACUUCGUG
rnacentral:rRNA from 1 species